AUUGAACGCUGGCGGCAUGCUUUACACAUGCAAGUCGAACGGCAGCGCGGGCUUCGGCCUGGUGGCGAGUGGCGAACGGGUGAGUAAUGCAUCGGAACGUGCCCAGUAGUGGGGGAUAGCCCGGCGAAAGCCGGAUUAAUACCGCAUACGACCUGAGGGUGAAAGCGGGGGACCGAAAGGCCUCGCGCUAUUGGAGCGGCCGAUGUCGGAUUAGCAAGUUGGUGGGGUAAAGGCUUACCAAGGCGACGAUCCGUAGCUGGUCUGAGAGGACGACCAGCCACACUGGGACUGAGACACGGCCCAGACUCCUACGGGAGGCAGCAGUGGGGAAUUUUGGACAAUGGGGGCAACCCUGAUCCAGCCAUGCCGCGUGAGGGAAGAAGGCCUUCGGGUUGUAAACCGCUUUUGUUCGGGAAGAAAUCCUCUGGGCUAAUACCCCGGGGGGAUGACGGUACCGGAAGAAUAAGCACCGGCUAACUACGUG
rnacentral:rRNA from 1 species